rnacentral:rRNA from 1 species
AUUGAACGCUGGCGGCAGGCCUAACACAUGCAAGUCGAACGGUAACAGGAAGAAGCUUGCUUCUUUGCUGACGAGUGGCGGACGGGUGAGUAAUGUCUGGGAAACUGCCUGAUGGAGGGGGAUAACUACUGGAAACGGUAGCUAAUACCGCAUAACGUCGCAAGACCAAAGAGGGGGACCUUCGGGCCUCUUGCCAUCGGAUGUGCCCAGAUGGGAUUAGCUAGUAGGUGGGGUAACGGCUCACCUAGGCGACGAUCCCUAGCUGGUCUGAGAGGAUGACCGGCCACACUGGAACUGAGACACGGUCCAGACUCCUACGGGAGGCAGCAGUGGGGAAUAUUGCACAAUGGGCGCAAGCCUGAUGCAGCCAUGCCGCGUGUAUGAAGAAGGCCUUCGGGUUGUAAAGUCCUUUCAGCGGGGAGGAAGGGAGUAAAGUUAAUACCUAUGCUCAUUGACGUUACCCGCAGAAGAAGCACCGGCUAACUCCGUG